AGGCUUUUUCUAGAGAUACAAUUGGUUAAUUUGUUUUAGAUUCAGGCUCUAACUAAAAAAAAAUUAUAAAUACAAGCAAACAAAACUACCAUCCUGGACCUACCUAAAUACCACUUUUUAGUGUUUCCUCAUUAAAAUUUCUCUACUGCCUGAAGAAGUAGGGAUCUUGCAAUAUGCAAGUGACAGUACUUGUCUUUGAGAACCACUAUCACAUGUGCACUUGGCAGUGGAUUUAAACCCAACCACAACAAGCAUUAUCCAGCCUGAAACUGUGCUAGGCUCUGAAGAAGCAAAUGAGACCUGACCUGCGCUGCUGAUACUCAGCAUUUUCAGUGGCUCAGUGGGUAGAGAAUGUGACAGGGUAGUUAUAGCUUUUGUUUUCAUUAACAUUACAACAAACAGAGAAACUGAUUUGUCUUCAGAGAAUGAACAUUUAAGAGGAAAAUAAAAUCAAACUAUAAAAAACAAGUUAUUGUUGGUCUACCCAUAGAGGCAUGCUAAUACAUGUUGAUAACUAGACUUCAAGCAUCUACCCAGUUCAACAUUGCAGUGUUUUUAUGUUAGUGUCUUUCCUGCUGGAGCACUUUAAACACUGACCUGCAGAUAUUAGCUGAUUAACUGCAUC